rnacentral:rRNA from 1 species
CCUACGGGAGGCUGCAGUGGGGAAUAUUGCACAAUGGGCGCAAGCCUGAUGCAGCCAUGCCGCGUGUGUGAAGAAGGCCUUCGGGUUGUAAAGCACUUUCAGCGGGGAGGAAGGCGGUGAGGUUAAUAACCUCAUCGAUUGACGUUACCCGCAGAAGAAGCACCGGCUAACUCCGUGCCAGCAGCCGCGGUAAUACGGAGGGUGCAAGCGUUAAUCGGAAUUACUGGGCGUAAAGCGCACGCAAGCGGUCUGUCAAGUCGGAUGUGAAAUCCCCGGGCUCAACCUGGGAACUGCAUUCGAAACUGGCAGGCUAGAGUCUUGUAGAGGGGGGUAGAAUUCCAGGUGUAGCGGUGAAAUGCGUAGAGAUCUGGAGGAAUACCGGUGGCGAAGGCGGCCCCCUGGACAAAGACUGACGCUCAGGUGCGAAAGCGUGGGGAGCAAACAGGAUUAGAUACCCGUGUAGUC